UCCAGUGUCUUAGGUAAAGAGCCUACACCACAGCGGGCACUUGGAAGGCUGAAGAAAGCCGGCUGGAAGCUCUUUGCCUAUCAGUUGUGAGGAGACAGGAAUUGAGGAGCUGGCACAGAGGGAGGCAGCUGGCUUGGACUGUGAAAUACCUUCCAUUGCUGAGUCUUCCCUGAGUGGUGGUUUGAGCAAGAAGGUGAGGGGAGAAGAAAGCUACCCCAGCUUAGUUCAGCAAGAUUUCCCGGCUUCCUGGCAAGUCACUUUGAUGUGCUGUGCGUUUGAAAGAGAGGGCUGGCCUCCUCCAUAUCGGCCCCCCACCUCACCUGUGCGUCCUCUCAAAACCUGAACACUUUCUGCUCCAACACUGGAAAAAGAGGGUUUUCUGAAGAUAAGAUGGCAUUUUGAAGAUAAGAGAGGCUAAAGGUAAGAGCCCUUAAGAAUAGGAUCCAUUUAGCUCAAGUCAUGGAAUUUACACGUGACAGGGUAUCUUAUAGUAGCAUGAAUGUUGUUACUAGAAUCUCAGUAUUAGUCAUAAUAUGAAAUAUAUGAUAUUCUCGCUUCUUGAUGACUCAUCUCUGAAGUACCACUCACUUCAGUAUGCACAUGCAUAUUGAUGAUUGACAGCUAAUAGGGGAGGCUAGAGGGAAAAGAGAAUCCAUUCACUUCUUCCCACAUACCAUCCUUUAGAAAGAAAAAUUAGCAGAACGGAAGCAGAAACCCUCCCUUUUUUUCUGGCUUGGAUUCUAUCUGUAGGGCCUGCUUCUUUAUAUCGUUUUCUGUGGUUCUAUAAAAAUAAUUUAAAGGAUAGUUGUCUUAGUUACCAGGCCAGACAGGACUACUUUUAAAAAUGCAGUGAUCUGUAGCACACCUUGGCCUUCUCAUAAAUUCAGCACAAGUCCCUUCACGAUGUAAAUUUUCUUGAAGUUUCAGAAUUGACUGGGAAGGACCAGCGCCUUCCUGGCCAUGGCUGACAAAGCUGUGACUUCAACCACCAGGUGAUGCACCUGAUUAGGUCCUUGGAAGAGCAGAGGAUAAAGAGGCUUUGGAAACAUAAACUCAUUGUGGAGAAGGAAGUGCCUCUGUGAGCAUGACUGUAGUAAAAUAGGGAAUAAAGGAAUGCAAAUACUCCA
rnacentral:lncRNA from 1 species